AGCGAACGCUGGCGGCAGGCUUAACACAUGCAAGUCGAGCGGGCGUAGCAAUACGUCAGCGGCAGACGGGUGAGUAACGCGUGGGAACAUACCUUUUGGUUCGGAACAACACAGGGAAACUUGUGCUAAUACCGGAUAAGCCCUUACGGGGAAAGAUUUAUCGCCGAAAGAUUGGCCCGCGUCUGAUUAGCUAGUUGGUGAGGUAACGGCUCACCAAGGCGACGAUCAGUAGCUGGCUGAGAGGAUGAUCAGCCACAUUGGGACUGAGACACGGCCCAAACUCCUACGGGAGGCAGCAGUGGGGAAUAUUGGACAAUGGGCGCAAGCCUGAUCCAGCCAUGCCGCGUGAGUGAUGAAGGCCCUAGGGUUGUAAAGCUCUUUGUGCGGGAAGAUAAUGACGGUA
rnacentral:rRNA from 1 species